AAGUCGUAACAAGGUUUCCGUAGGUGAACCUGCGGAAGGAUCAUUAACACGUAUCCACGUUAAGUCACCGCGAAUUUCUUAGGAUGCUUCUUUGCUCUGUCUCUAUUCUCGACUUAGCGGUUGAAUUUAGGGACAUCAAGGAGGCUCCUUUGUUCUUACCCUUUCAGGAACAAAUCUUCGGAGGAGUUCCUGAUUGGGGAAUUGAAACCCCCUUUUUUCAUACUAAAGGCCGUCUCUUUGCAGACCGCUUUUAACCGAAUGCUGUACAACUCUUAGCAACGGAUAUCUUGGUUCUG
rnacentral:misc_RNA from 1 species